AUCUCACCCAAUUAGGGUGUAUCUUCACACAAACGACAAAAGUGAAAAGACUGUCGACGAAGCUGCUACUGAUCACAUCCCUGUGACACUCAAUGACCCUAAGGCUGAUGAGCAAGAGGAUGUCAACGGAAUCACCUCAGAUGACCAACAUCAGAUGACCAACAUUCAUCAACAUUGUUCUGAUGAACAGGUAUAGUGAAUUAGUCUUGGCCUAUAUAAAUGUAGUUCUUUCAGCGCCACCACAGUGUAAAGUCAGGUGUAUUUUAUGUGUUGUAACGUUAUGACGGCUUCA